CUCUUGCAUCAGCAUCUUGAUCAACUCGCUCAACAGUUGCCAACUGAAUCUGAUGAGCAAGGCGAACGUUAUCACCAAACUGCGCUUCCAUUUGAAAUAAGGUACAGAGGAAAGAAAUCUCCAGAUGCAAUACUCGCUGAAAUUUGUUGGUGGUAU